rnacentral:rRNA from 1 species
UACGUAGGGUGCGAGCGUUGUCCGGAAUUAUUGGGCGUAAAGAGCUCGUAGGCGGUUUGUUGCGUCUAUCGUGAAAACCUGCAGCUUAACUGUGGGCUUGCGGUGGAUACGGGCAGACUUGAGUUCGGUAGGGGAGACUGGAAUUCCUGGUGUAGCGGUGAAAUGCGCAGAUAUCAGGAGGAACACCGGUGGCGAAGGCGGCUCUCUGGGACGGUACUGACGCUGAGACGCGAAAGCGUGGGGAGCGAACAGG